GGUGAAAACUCUCACACGUGUUAAUAGUGUGAUUAAGGUGUGUACACGUCCGUAACGUGACUAAAACAGGAAAAACUCCACACGUUUAAUUCCAUCUGUGUUUACUUCGAGUGUGACUUUAAUCAGAUUAAGAUCAUCAGUAAUCUCUGUUUACAUGCUGCUGUCUUAAUCAGAGUAUCGUCUUAAUCGGAUUAAUAUCGGAUUAUCGCCGUCCGUGUAAACAAACUGAUUGUCUCGACAUCAUUUCCUCUCCUUCGUGGCGGGCCGAUCUGAGUAAUCACUCUUUUAUUACAGUCGGCUUUAUUUACAGAAAUGUUUUCAUGGCCAAACCGAGCGAGCGAUUCCUGCCGCAUUUACAAACCUUUCAGCUGCAUUCGUUUUCUGCGUACUCGUGUGCGUAUAUUCCUGGUAUGUACGUUUGCGUUUAGCC
ensembl:lncRNA